UGGAGACUCAAACUAAAUCUUCACGAAAGCACAAAGUCAGGAAGUCACAUAAGCAAGCAAACAAACAAGAUUAUUAUCUUUUUAAAUAAGUUAUUUUAAAACUUCACGUUUAGGUUUUAUUUCUGCCGAAAGAUAUUGUCGAAAAUGUGAAACAGGAUGCUAAGACAAUUUUUCUCCGUUCAGUUUCAAAGUACUAGAGCCGCGGGACAAGACCCGAGCACGUGGGAGAGUUUUCGUUUGUGUAUCAGUGUUUGGGCGUCCUUGGGUUUGUACAGUUUGCUCUUAUAAAACGUGCACAAGAGCUCAUGGCCCUGAGUAGGCCUCUACUGCUCUUUUUAUACGAUACGAAGCAGACGUGGAAUAUUUAAUUCUAGACUCUCCGGGCAACUUGGGUCCAAAAAGAAUUAAAUAUUCCACGCCCGCUUCGGUUGUGUUCUCCCAUUCCACUCCCGGUUUUGUGAAACAAGAGAAGAGAGCCCACUGCUGUCUGACUAUAGGAAUGGAGAGCAGAUGUGAACAUUGCUGCCAGCCACUCACUUGUCAGAUGAGAACUGAGUUGACCAUGCUCAUUACAAAAUUAAUUUUUAGGUCUUGGUGGAUUUAACAAGGAAUGUGAAAUAGACUACUGGUCUCUCUCAGGGCUCAUGACUCCACCUGUGGUCUUCUUACCAAAUGCUCAUCUGGAGCACAGGCACCUCCCACCGUCAGGUCAAAUCCUACAAGGCUCUACAUAAACUGAGUGUCUUCUCCUUUCCCUGCCUGGAGCAGGCCUUACUGGUAGGCUACCCAUGUCUGUCAGUGGUACCAGCCCUGUCUUCCAAGAGUAUCAGUGUGAAGAAACCACCUGCACAUCAAGCUUCCUUCUCUCUCAGAAGGCCAGUCUGGGAUUGUCCCCGAGUUCAUUUCAGUCUUGCAACUCUCUCUUCAGUUAUCCAUUCUUCAUUCCAUUUCCUAGCCCUUGAAACAGCUCCACUGUUUUGCAGUCCUUAAACCCUGACAUCUGGCCGGACAUCUGAUUCUCACUCUCGAAGCUUGGUUGGGGCCCUUCAGCAACAACCCCUCAUCCUAUUCCUGGAGUGUACUUGUUCAGAUCUCCUCAUUGGUUUUACUACUUGUAUCUUACCUUCUCCAAGGAAUCAUCAAAUUAAUUUUUUCUAAAAUACUUUCUUACCAUUUUCCUUCUUAAGAAUCUAUAAUGUCUUAUUGCAUAUUAGUUAAAAUACAAAUGUCUCUUCUCUAUAUGUAAACCCUGCAUCACUUGACCCUCCUUUGGUCAUUAAAUCAGUAAAUCGGUUUCAUUUACUA